rnacentral:piRNA from 1 species
ACAAGUACCAAAAGACGUACAGAGC